GACGAACGCUGGCGGCGUGCUUAACACAUGCAAGUCGAACGGGUCUGCCCUGUUUUUUGCGGGGUGGGUCAGUGGCGAACGGGUGAGUAACACGUGAGUAACCUGCCCCUCACUUCUGGAUAACCGCUUAAAAGGGUGGCUAAUACGGGGUGUUCUGGCUGUGCCGCAUGGUGUGGCUGGGAAAGAUUCACUUUUGUGGUGUUUUGGUGGGGGAUGGGCUCGCGGCCUAUCAGCUUGUUGGUGGGGUGAUGGCCUGCCAAGGCUUUGACGGGUAGCCGGCCUGAGAGGGUGGGCGGUCACACUGGGACUGAGAUACGGCCCAGACUCCUGCGGGAGGCAGCAGUGGGGGGUAUUGCACAAUGGGCGGAAGCCUGAUGCAGCGACGUCGCGUGAGGGAUGGAGGCCUUCGGGUUGUGAACCUCUUUCGCCGGUGAAGAAGGUCCUGCUCUUUGUGGUGGGGUUGACGGUAGCCGGGUUAUGAAGCGCCGGCUAACUACGUG
rnacentral:rRNA from 1 species